CGACUUCCAUUUGCUGCGGACAAAUAAAGUGAAUAUGAGUAUCGACCCCUCCGGCCGUUAAAAUCUUUCCUUCACCUGAAAUGACUUCGGUGCCGGCUCCGAUGAUCAUAUGGGGACCGACACCGUCCAUGAUAUCAGGGUUGCCGCUUUUUCCAACGCCUACAAUACGUCCGUCCUUUAUACCGACAUCCGCUUUGACAAUGCCGGUAUAAUCCAAGACGACAACGUUUGUAAUGACCAAAUCAAGAGCGCCGUCUUUUGCCGUUAUCCGGCCAUUUUGCCCCAUGCCGUCACGAAUCG
rnacentral:sRNA from 1 species